CGGAAUGAUUGAUGUGUUUUUCUCAUUAUUUUCUCAUUUAUGGGUUUUAAUAGAGGUUAAUUAGAACGGAUGUACCAUAAUAGUAACUUUCCUUCUAUAGCACCCAUCCAAUUGCUUAGCAGAUCAAUUGUAAUUUAAAUGUGAAACAAAAUCCAUAUGUUAAACCAGUAUUAGUUGCCAAGUCAUUCGAGAUCAUUUUAAGCAAUAGAGAGAUCUUUUAUGGUGAAUUGUAAGAAAAACUGGAAGUUGGCAAGAAAUACAACAACCUGAGAAAGUCGGGUGUUUGUAGUUUGAUGCAGGGAAG
rnacentral:lncRNA from 1 species